AUUUUUUAUCUUUCUCGAUAGAUCAAUAGUCGUUAUCGGAGUAAUACCUUGUUCUUUGUAUGAUUGCCUUGUUAAUACCAUUUUGUUUUAAUCUUGCUUUAAUUGGAUUUGGCGUCUUAUCUUGAUUCUCAUAGUCUUCGCUCUUCACUCUGUCUUUUACUAUUAGCAAUCUCAACGUCCUGGUUAAAAGCCAGUAUGUCAAAAGUUGGGAAGCUAUAAAUUGUAUAUAUAGCAAUCCUCCUUUGAGGACUCCUUUGAGGAGCCGCCGUGAAUUACAGUCAGCUUUUAAUUGCUUCCGUCUAUGUCCAAAGCCUCGUAAAUCAAAGUUUAAAACUAACAUGAGCUCUGAAGCUUAAAGGGAGUUUUGAAUAAUAGAAAUCUGAGAACUGCAAAUCUUCAAAGCUACUAAGGUUUGCCUGCCAGGCGUUGACACUGCAGAGCCAGAAGAAGGAAACUUUUCUCUGUCUCUCUCCUUCUUGAUGACAACAAUGGCGUAUUUGUGGAGCCUUGCCUGGUGAAGAGCAUUGAGCACAUCUCCAUGGACUGAACCCGCAAGAAAGACACCGUUGAUGGAAAGAAUGAGGUCCCCUCGGUGGAUGAUUCCUUCUUGGGAUGCCACUCCUUUUGAAAACACCCGAUGGACCUUUAAGAAGAUAACGUUGUGAGGAAGGUUGUUAACCAGGUCUACUCCUCCAGCAACGCUAAAUCCCAGGCCAGAUCCCUCCUCUUUAUUCAAGACUACAAAGUACACAUCUUCUUUGCUCUGACAAAAAAGACAAAAGAAGAAAUAUUCAAAGGUUAAAAACCCAGAAGAAAUAGUAGCAAAACUCGCAAAAUGUCCUGAAGACGAGAAGAGACCCAUGUUUAAGGGAAUGCUUCUUGGAUAUGUUUCCCCCCCCCAAAUUAGACUGUAAAAUCUUUAUUAAAGAUAGCUAUAAUUUCACCAUAUUAAAAUAGUAUUAAAAUAUUAAUAUCAAAAUAGUUCUGGAAAGACUGGGAAAGACACUUUGAGUUCAUUUAUGAUACAUGUAAAGCACAAAAGCCCAGCUAAAUCAGGCUUCAGUAGUUUGAUCUAUGCCUUCUCAUGGUUUAACCCUAGAAAAAAUUUAAUGCCAUGGCCCAGUCAUGAGUUAAAUUAAUAAUAAAGUGAAAUGUGCAAAGGGGUCUUCUACUGACUACUAAAGGUGGAGCUGGAGAGUAGUUCCACCUGAAACUGGGCAGAUCACACAAUUAAUCACACCGUUAACCCAUGUUUUAAUACCUCUCUGUGGCUGCUUGGAAAUCCAAAGAAGCAGAGAGUUGGGAAAUGGAUGGGCAGGACAGUCAGGAUGGCUGGAAAGGACAGGUGAGCAGUAUAUAUGUGCAACCAGUUACCUUCAGCAUCUCCAGAUUAGACUACUAUAACACACUGUACAUGGGGCUGCCUCUGAACACUGUCUGGAAACGUCAGCUACAGCAAAAUACAGCUGUAUGACUUCUUGUUAGGAUUAGAUAUCACCAAUUCCUAAAUAUCUGCACUGGUUACCAGUCCAUUUCUGAGCACAAUUUAA